AACGAACGCUGGCGGCAUGCCUAACACAUGCAAGUCGAACGAAACCUCCCGGCCUAUUGGCGCACGUCUGCGUAACACCUGGGAACCUGCCCUUAGGUACGCUAUAACUCCCUGAAAGGGGUCCUCAUACCGCUUAAUGUCAUCCGACCAAGGAUCUAUGGCCUUUGGAUGGGCGCGCGUUGGAUUGGCGAGUUGGUAGGGUAAAAGCCGACCAACGCGAGGAUCCAUGGCUGGUCUGAGAGGAUGCUCAGUCAGACUGGGACUGAGACACGGCCCAGAAUGGGACGGGAGGGAGCAGAGGGGAGUAUUGGAGGAGGGGCGAAAGCCUGAUAAAGCAGUGCGGGGUGUGUGAUGAAGGGCUUAGGGUUGUAAAGCCGUCUUACACGGGAUGAUAAUGACAGUAACGGGAGAAUAAGCACCGGCUAACUACGUG
rnacentral:rRNA from 1 species